rnacentral:rRNA from 1 species
AUUGAACGCUGGCGGCGUGCCUAACACAUGCAAGUCGAGCGGUAACAGGCGUAGCAAUACGUGCUGACGAGCGGCGAACGGGUGAGUAACGCUUCGGAAUCUGCCCAAUGGUGGGGAAUAACCAGCCGAAAGGUUGGCUAAUUCCGCAUGAGCCCUACGGGGGAAAGCGGGGGAUCGCAAGACCUCGCGCCGAUGGAUGAGCCGAAGCCGGAUUAGCUAGUUGGUAGGGUAACGGCCUACCAAGGCGACGAUCCGUAGCUGGUCUGAGAG